ACCACAUCACGUUGAAACACCAGUCCCCAUAUGUUCAUCAAAGUUAAGCAACAUUGAGCUUGGUCAGUACUUAGAUGAGUGACUGCUUCAGAAUACUCGGUGCUGUAAG